rnacentral:lncRNA from 1 species
AUGAGUUUGGCGAGGAGUUGGCCGAUUGUUCACCAGGCUCUGUGUCGGUCGAAGGAGGCGGGAUUUCCAGGUCUGUCGUCUGCCAGCCAUUGUGGAGCUCUCCAGUCACAGUGCCUUCACCUGGCGGGGAGCCAUCUUGAUCGCGCCACUUCCAAUCGAGUCCUCUCGCUACGCGGGACCCAAUCAUAAGCUGCUUCAAUACCAAAGAACGGAGAUGACGUCUCUGUUUUCGCAGAUUUGCCUCAGCUUCUUUCGCUGCUUUGCCUGAAAGAAUUGUUUAAGAAUUAGACAGAUUUUGAAGUGAUAUAAUGACAUUAAGAGGUAGGCAGGGUUGUCACAGAUUUCUAAGAGUAGUAUUUCCUGACACACUUUGGUAAAAUUUCCUGACAUUAAAGAGACAUCAUCAGAAAUAGUUUUCACCCAAAAUUUGUUGUUGGAAACAUGACACCUAUUCGAGAAAGGAAAUGAAGGUGAUUGAAAAAUUUUUCCUAGACACGCUCGUCAUUUUCCGUGACAUUUGUGGAUUUUCCCUGACUUCACAAAAAUUCCUGACGUGUCCCAGAUUUCCCAAUAAUCCGGAACUGUGGCAACCCUGUAGAUCCGACUUCUGCACUUUUAACCUAAAAUAAUUUUUGAUGUUGUCCUGGUGGCAUCCAACUUCCUAAUAUUUCCAGUUUUUACUGAUGAUAGAUACUCUGCUCUAGAUUCCUAAUACCAAUGUGAAGGUAACAAAUGUAUAACAAACCUAAAUCUUCACAGAUGCCUGUGACGGUGCCGUAGACUUCAAAUCCUGAGAGUGACAAAUAAUGAGUCUGUCCCGAGGCGUUCUUCCCAGAUUGUUGGAUACGGAUAUGCCUCCAGCCUUGCAUUUCGUUAUGGGUGGAAACAUCGACCGGCCACGUUGCAGUUGAGCCGGGCUCAUUCAGGCUCGUGUCAUCUGUGUGCGAGACUAAUGUUGUCCAGUUGACGCCAUCCUUGGACACCUGGAAGAGCCAAUUUCGAAGCGCAGACCGACCAUAGCCGCGAGCGUGCCGCAAGGUGUAAGAUGAAGGGAUGACCCACAAUCCCAAGUCGAUACUGAACCAUGCCCGUUUGUCGUCGUUGGAGUGACAAUUUAGAGCUGAUGAGUCCCGGGAUAAAAUAUCCUCCAGUUUUCCAUACGGAAGAGUUCGACCAUCCGAAGAGGAAACAACAACCAAGCCGUAUUGUGCAGGGUUCACCCACUCCCCGCAGGUCCUGGAAAGAGGAAAUUUAAAUUUAAUUUGCUUUGACUCACAGAUGUAAAACACUAUUUGUCCUGGUGUUCUGAAAUUUCUUAGAUUAUACCGCACACCAUAACAACAGUCUAAAAGCGAAACCACAUAUCUCCGUUUGAAACGUUGCAGACUUCCUGUCAGACUUUAAUUUUCCUUCGGAAAACUUGUUAUCAUAAUUUCUUUAAAAAUUCCUUGAUUUGUCUUCUCUGUGGGCAGAAUAUUCUCUGCAUAAAUUAAAAGCCAUAAAAUUGGCUUCUUCCCCUUCAAAAAGUAAAAUAUGAGCAGAAAUUUGGAACACCCCAAUGGCAAUGCGCAGUUUGGCACUUUGGCCGUCAAUAUUUAACCAGAAACGCCACUUCACUUAUAAAAUGGAAUUAUUUUGGACAUAGCUUAAAGCAGGUCUUAUAAUCAAGAAAAGAAUCCAAUUGAAGCCACAUAAGAAUCAAUUUCUUGAUUUUCUUGACUGGAGACUUCUACUUGAAGUUAAAGUAGCAACUGCCUUUCACAGUGUAUUCAUCAUGAAAAUUAUCUCCUUGGAAACAAGAGGGGUUAUCCAUGG